UGUCAAAUUGCUUUAAAGUUAGUGACCAAGU
rnacentral:piRNA from 1 species